CCUACGGGAGGCAGCAGUGGGGAAUCUUGCGCAAUGGGCGAAAGCCUGACGCAGCAACGCCGCGUGCGGGAAGAAGGCUUUCGGGCUGUAAACCGCUUUCAGCAGGAACGAAAAUGACGGUACCUGCAGAAGAAGGAGCGGCCAACUAUGUGCCAGCAGCCGCGGUGAUACAUAGGCUUCAAGCGUUGUCCGGAUUUAUUGGGCGUAAAGAGUUCGUAGGCGGUCGAGUAAGUCGGGUGUGAAAAUUCUGGGCUCAACCCAGAGACGCCACCCGAUACUGCUUGACUUGAGUUCGAUAGGGGAGUGGGGAAUUCCUAGUGUAGCGGUGAAAUGCGCAGAUAUUAGGAGGAACACCGGUGGCGAAGGCGCCACUCUGGAUCGAUACUGACGCUGAGGAACGAAAGCAUGGGUAGCAAACAGGAUUAGAUACCCUGGUAGUCCAUGCCGUAAACGGUGGGCACUAGGUGUGGGUUUCUAUUAACGAAAUCCGCGCCGUCGCUAACGCAUUAAGUGCCCCGCUGGGGAAGUCGGUCGCAAGACUUAAAACNCAAAGAUGACGCNGAGACGNGCGAGACGACGACGAGGAGAG
rnacentral:rRNA from 1 species